UAGUUUUCGGAUUACUGAGACCGGCGCACGGGUGCGUAACGCGUAUGCAGUCUACCUUUUACAGAGGGAUAGCCCAGAGAAAUUUGGAUUAAUACCUCAUAGUAUUGUUGACUGGCAUCAUUUAACAAUUAAAGUUCCAACGGUAAAAGAUGAGCAUGCGUCCCAUUAGUUAGUUGGUAAGGUAACGGCUUACCAAGACAAUGAUGGGUAGGGGUCCUGAGAGGGAGAUCCCCCACACUGGUACUGAGACACGGACCAGACUCCUACGGGAGGCAGCAGUGAGGAAUAUUGGACAAUGGGCGCAAGCCUGAUCCAGCCAUGCCGCGUGCAGGAAGAAGCAUCUAUGGUGUGUAAACUGCUUUUGUACGGGAAGAAACAUCACUACGUGUAGUGACUUGACGGUACCGUAAGAAUAAGGAUCGGCUAACUCCGUGCCAGCAGCCGCGGUAAUACGGAGGAUCCAAGCGUUAUCCGGAAUCACUGGGUUUAAAGGGUCCGUAGGCGGUUUAAUAAGUCAGUGGUGAAAUCUGGUCGCUCAACGAUCAAACGGCCAUUGAUACUGUUAAACUUGAAUUAUUGUGAAGUAACUAGAAUAUGUAGUGUAGCGGUGAAAUGCUUAGAUAUUACAUGGAAUACCAAUUGCGAAGGCAGGUUACUAACAAUAUAUUGACGCUGAUGGACGAAAGCGUG
rnacentral:rRNA from 1 species